rnacentral:rRNA from 1 species
CCCUUAGAUGUUCUGGGCCGCACGCGCGCUACAAUGAUGAAUUCAACGAGUUUAUAACCUUGGUUGAAAAGCCUGGGUAAUCUUUUGAACUUUCGUCGUGAUGGGGCUAGACCCUUGCAAUUAUUGGUCUCCAACGAGGAAUUCCUAGUAAACGCAAGUCAUCAGCUUGCAUUGAUUACGUCCCUGCCCUUUGUACACACCGCCCGUCGCACCUACCGAUUGAAUGGUCCGGUGAAAUCUUCGGAUUGAGACUUUGUUUUCUUCACGGAAAACGCUGUUUUAAAAAGUUGAUUAAACCUUACCAUUUAGAGGAAGGUGAAGGCGUAACA